rnacentral:lncRNA from 1 species
UUGAAGAAGGUUUAACAUGGUAAUAACAGACUAAUUGGUUGGUCAAAAAGCAUGUGUGGUUUAUUUGAUAUAGGAGUUAUAGAUUUCAUCCCAUUCCUAUGGUGAUUAGUACUCUUGUGUAGUAGUUAGAAAAAGUUUUAACUCUAAAUGAGAUCCAAGAUGAUAUUUUUCAUGAGAUGUGAUUCUACACAAAUCCUUAGAGGGGCUUACCUAUAUGAGAGUAU